GAGUAAUUGAGUUGAAAAAAGUUUUAAAAAAGACUUGACGAAAAGCGGCAGAGAUGAUAUGAUAAUAAUCGUCGCCUGAGAGAAAAGGCGACAGAAAAGAACCUUGAAAAAUGGAUAGCAACCAGCCGAGAAAGAUAGGCGGAAACCCGGAAAGUUGAUGUAAGAGUUAACUUUCUAAGAUUUCCAAAACCAAUGAGUAAGAAGCCAAAUCAAAUUUUCUUUAAGGAGAGUUUGAUCCUGGCUCAGGACGAACGCUGGCGGCGUGCUUAACACAUGCAAGUCGAACGGACUGCCCUCAUAACCCUUCGGGGUUUUUGAGGAUCACAGUCAGUGGCGGACGGGUGAGUAACACGUGAACAACCUGCCCUCAGGCCGGAGAUAACCUGGCGAAAGUCGGGCUAAUAUCCGAUUGAGUUAAGGGAUGGCAUCAUCCCUUAAUGAAAGAUGGGGCUAGUAACCAUUACCUGAGGAGGGGUUCGCGCCGGAUUAGUUAGCUGGUAGGGUAAAGGCCUACCAGGACAGCAAUCCGUAGCUGGUCUGAGAGGACGAUCAGCCACACUGGGACUGAGACACGGCCCAGACUCCUACGGGAGGCAGCAGUGGGGAAUAUUCUACAAUGGGGGGAAACCCUGAUAGAGCGACGUCGCGUGAGUGAAGAAGGCCUUCGGGUUGUAAAGCUCUGUCACCGGGGAAGAAGGUAUUUAUGAGGAAAUGCAUAGAUAUUGACGGUACCUGGAGAGGAAGCACUGGCUAACUACGUGCCAGCAGCCGCGGUAAUACGUAGAGUGCAAGCGUUGUCCGGAAUUAUUGGGCGUAAAGGGUACGCAGGCGGCCCUGCAAGUCAAAUGUGAAAGGUCACAGCUUAACUGUGAGAAUGCGUUUGAAACUGUAGGGCUUGAGUACAACAGAGGAGAGCGGAAUUCCUGGUGUAGUGGUGAAAUACGUAGAGAUCAGGAAGAACACCAGUGGCGAAGGCGGCUCUCUGGGUUGAUACUGACGCUCAGGUACGAAAGCUAGGGGAGCGAACGGGAUUAGAUACCCCGGUAGUCCUAGCAGUAAACGAUGGAUACUAGGUGUUGGGGGUUCGAAUCCCUCAGUGCCGCAGUUAACGCAGUAAGUAUCCCGCCUGGGGAUUACGGUCGCAAGACUGAAACUCAAAGGAAUUGACGGGGGCCCGCACAAGCGGUGGAGCAUGUGGUUUAAUUCGA
rnacentral:rRNA from 1 species